AAGUCGUAACAAGGUUUCCGUAGGUGAACCUGCGAUCAUUAACACGUAUGAAUGGCGCAGUCACGAUCGCUAGAGGCCGACACGGCCGGCGACCGGGUCACUGGGCGCGAGCCCCCCUCGUCACCUUUGCAUGAAAACGGGCCUGCGCUUAAUUGUGCGGCCACCAAACUCGAACAACUGUUAACAAUGGAUAUCUUGGUUCUC
rnacentral:misc_RNA from 1 species